rnacentral:rRNA from 1 species
UAUAUAGGACAAUGUGGGCACCCCUGAUCCAGCCAUGCCGCGUGUGUGAAGAAGGUCUUCGGCUUGUAAUGCACCUUAAGUUGGGAGGUAGGGCAUUAGGUUAGUACCCUGAAGUUUUGGUGUUACCAUCAGUAUCAGCACCGGCUAACUAUGUGCCAGCAGCCGCGGUAAUACAGAGGGUGCAAGCGUUAAUCGGAAUUACUGGGCGUAAAGCGCGCGUAGGUGGUUCAGUAAGAUGGGUGUGAAAUCCCCGGGCUUAACCUGGGAACUGCUUUCAUAACUGCUGAGCUAGAGUACGGUAGAGGGUAGUGGAAUUUCCUGUGUAGCGGUGAAAUGCGUAGAUAUAGGAAGGAACACCAGUGGCGAAGGCGACUACCUGGACUGAUACUGACACUGAGGUGCGAAAGCGUGGGGAGCAAACA